AUUGAACGCCGGCGGCAGGCCUAACACAUGCAAGUCGAGCGGGGUUUUCGGACCUAGCGGCGGACGGGUGAGUAAUGCGUAGGAAGCUGCCCGAUAGAGGGGGAUACCAGUUGGAAACGACUGUUAAUACCGCAUAAUGUCUACGGACCAAAGUGUGGGACCUUCGGGCCACAUGCUAUCGGAUGCGCCUACGUGGGAUUAGCUAGUUGGUGAGGUAAUGGCUCACCAAGGCGACGAUCUCUAGCUGGUUUGAGAGGAUGAUCAGCCACACUGGAACGUGGACACGGUCCAGACUCCUACGGGAGGCAGCAGUGGGGAAUAUUGGACAAUGGGCGCAAGCCUGAUCCAGCCAUGCCGCGUGUGUGAAGAAGGCCUUCGGGUUGUAAAGCACUUUCAGCGAGGAGGAAGGGUGGUGUGUUAAUAGCACAUCAUUUUGACGUUACUCGCAGAAGAAGCACCGGCUAACUCUGUGCCAGCCGCCGCGGUAACAC
rnacentral:rRNA from 1 species